CAUGCAGUCGAACGGUACAGCGGAGCUUGCUCCGGCUGACGAGUGGCGCACGGGUGAGUAACGCGUGGGAACCUGCCCCGGAGUGGGGAACAACCGCUGGAAACGGCGGCUAAUACCGCAUACGCCCUUAGGGGGAAAGCUUUAUGCGCUCUGGGAUGGGCCCGCGUCGGAUUAGCUUGUUGGUGGGGUAACGGCUCACCAAGGCGACGAUCCGUAGCUGGUCUGAGAGGAUGAUCAGCCACACUGGGACUGAGACACGGCCCAGACUCCUACGGGAGGCAGCAGUGGGGAAUAUUGGACAAUGGGGGCAACCCUGAUCCAGCAAUGCCGCGUGUGUGAAGAAGGCCUUCGGGUUGUAAAGCACUUUCACCCGUGAAGAUGAUGACCGGUAGCGGGAGA
rnacentral:rRNA from 1 species